UGGUUUAAUUGGCUUAGUUAGUUUGUUAUAUUUUAAGGAAACUUAAAGAUAAAGUAAUAAUUCUUUUAUUUAUAAGGGGACGAUAAGACCCUAAAAGCUUUAUAACGUGGUGUGCUUUAGUGUUGUUAUUUAGCUUAGUUUACUGGGGCAGUAUUUUUAGUUAAAUUAUUUAAUUAUUAGAAGAUCCUCUAUAUAGAGAUUAUGUGAAUUAGUUACUUUAGGGAUAACAGUGCUAUAUAUUUGGGGAGACCAGAUCUAUAAAUAUGUUUGCAACCUCGAUGUUGAAUUAGAGUAUCUAUGCAGGCAUAAUAUGUUCAAGAAAGUUUGUUCAACUUUUAAAUUUCUACAUGAUCUGAGUUCAAACCGG
rnacentral:rRNA from 1 species